CCAUGUGACACCCCUGUGGCUAAAGGAGACAAGUUCAGCUUAAGUCAAUGCCCUAAAAAUGACUUGGAAAUUAAAGAAAUGCAGAAGAUUCCUUAUUCCUCAACUAUAAGGAGUCUGAUGUAUGCUCAAGUUUGUACGCGUCCGGAUAUAGCGUACAUCGUUGGGAUGCUAGGGAGAUAUUUAAGUAACCCGGGAAUGGAUCAUUGGAAAGCAGCCAAACAGGUCAUGCGGUAUUUACAGAGAACAAAAGACUACAUGCUCACAUACAGGAGAUCAGAUAAGUUGGAGAUCAUCGGUUAUUCUGAUUCUGAUUUCGCAGGAUGACAAGAUAGAAGGAGAUCCACUUCAGGCUAUAUUUAUGUGCUUGCUGGAUGUGCUAUUUCCUGGAAGAGUGCUAAGCAAACACUCAUAACUACUUCCACCAUGGCAGCGGAGUUUAUAGCGUGUUAUGAGGCAUCAAAUCAUGGAAUAUGGCUGCGUAAUUUUGUCACUGGGCAAUAUAGAAAGAUCAUUUAAAAUAUUUUGUGACAAUAAAUCAGUAGUGCUGUAUUCUAAUAACAACAGGAGCUCGACAAAGUCAAAACACAUAGAGAUCAAGUUCCUUGCUGUUAAAGAAAGAGUUCAGAGUGGAUAGGUGUCAAUAGAGCAUAUUGGGACAAACUCCAUGGUUGCGAAUCCGCUUACUAAGGGAUUGAUACCCAAGGUCUUUCAUGAGCACACUGCUUAUAUGGGUGUAAUGUCUCUUAAGGAUAUCUAGUUUCAGUGGGAGUUUGUAUUUUUGCUUUUCAUAUUGGACACAUGUACUGUUAUUUUGGAUACGGUUUAAAGUUAAAGUUAUUUUCAGUUAUAAAGUUAUUUGGUUACUUAUCUCUAAACUUGUUUAAAAUGAUCUCACUAAGGUAUUAAGGUGGACCGGUUGGAAAUAGGCAUGUUACAGAUCAUAUUACAUGUAAUUUCCAUGCUACACAUCCAUGCUUGAUCCAUGUCAUUCGGUUAUAUUGAUAUACAUGACCAUUGAUGGGUUUAGCUAUGUGAAAGUAGCGAAAGCCGCUUUGAUCCUAUGUUGAUAUAAUUGAUGGACAAGAUUGUUUGGGGAUACAUUCGGUAAUGAUAGCAAAAUUCUGAGUACUCAUAAUGUUAUGUUUAAUGCACAAUUAUAAGGUGACACAUAUAGCCCAAGUGGGAAAUUGUAAGGGUUUUUAAUUAAAUAUGGGCUUGUAUGUGUGAAUAAUUGUGUGUUAAAUUAUAGGCUAUCGAAUUCGGUUGAGCCCAAUUAAAGUGAUCUAAAAAAGGCUUCGAUUUUUGGCUUUAAUGUAUCCAAUUAAAGUAUUGGUUUACAUAUGUGUAGAGAUUGGGCCCAAGUCCUAAUUCUAUGAUGGCCGAAUUAGGUCAAAGGGUAUCCCUAUAUAAAUAGGUUAUGGUCCCCAGAUCACAGGCAACGUAUUAU
rnacentral:lncRNA from 1 species